GCGUAGUUGGAGAGAGCGACUCUGUAUACACCUGGAGACCUCUAACAUAGGUGUUAGAGUAAACUGGCAAUUUGAUCACUUGCCAGUUUGCCCCCCCCGCUGUCUUCGACCUUAUCUCAGACGUAAUCGACGACCGCCGGCCCGCCCUUCUGCCCGACCACUUUUGCGAACUGACCUACUUUGCAGACCGACCUCAUGAACUCUAAGCUGUAACUAACCAAGUAUCUCUGACCUCCGUCUUUCACCACCUUGACGGCACACUCCAACUCCUCCAGUCCCAAGAAUCUCAAGUUGACAUAGAAAAGGAAUUUCCAGUGCUUGUGAAAACCUACACCCACAGAAUACCAUCCUUUUCAGGUGGAGCAGUGUGCACUCUUCAACCAGCAUGCCUCUGCCCUGGGCUGGUGAAACUGCUUCUAAAGUUUCAACUUUACAACGCUUGAUCCAACAUGAUGCCAUGCCAGCAAACAAGUUCGCCGUGUCACCCAUCUCCCUAGAGAACAUCUGUCCAAACUUCCUUGGACACUUUCUUUAAGAAAGCAGACAAGACUCCAGAAAAACCUGCAGCCAAGACUCCUGAGAAGACUGGACAAGAGCCCUUCAAAAAGUCCAGCAAAAUCACCACAAAGAAGUCCUUCCAAAUCAAGAUUGCUAUUUACAAUAUAAAUACAUUAAUGUAGCUAUAUUACUCAUUUAUAAUUGAUUGAGUACAAAAUUCUGGAUUAUUUUUGGUGAAAAUAGGGUAUCAGGUCUUGGUUCAGGAACCAAGCCAUCAUUUAUAACAUUGUUUCCUAUGGGAAAAUCGGUUCCGAGUUACAAUGUUUCGACUUAAGACAUGGUUUUCAGGAACCAAUUGUGUUGCAAGUCUGAGAACUGUCUAUAAGUAUAAGGGCAUGUAGGCAUCAUUUCCUUCUAGAAAAUGCAUUUGUGGAGGCAUGCUCAGAAUCUGACCAUGUAACAAGUGUGCAGGUAAAACAGAAUACAAUCAACUUGUUUCUGAAUACUGUUUCUUAAUAUGCAAAAGGGUGAUGAUAGAAAUUUUUUGUCCUACAUCUAAAGGGCCUUUCCAUCAGGACAUAAAACAGUGAAUAACGGUAAUGCUUCUGAAAUGCAUGGAAUAUGAAGUUUUUGACUGCAGUUUCGUAUAAUUUCAGAUCAGUAUUAUUACUGUAUGGAACUGUCAACUUUUGAAAUCAGCUCCAAUAGAAAAGACUAAUAGGAGUUCUCUUGGAGGAUGACUCCAUCUCCAAAACAUUUUGUAAUCAAGUUCUUGUAAAAGAUGCAAUGACCAGUAAAUUUCUUGGAAAAAAAUCCCUCUCAAGGUGAUUAACUUUUUGGUAUAGAGAACAGAUGAGGCAAGAACAGUCUUUUGGAAUACUUUACAAUAAAAAUAGUUCAGG